rnacentral:rRNA from 1 species
UCGUGUCGUGAGAUGUUGGGUUAAGUCCCGCAACGAGCGCAACCCUCACCUCUUGUUGCCACCAGGUCAUGCUGGGCACUCUAGAGGAACUGCCCCGGUCAACGGGGAGGAAGGCGGGGAUGACGUCAAGUCAUCAUGCCCCUUACGUCCUGGGCUACACACGCGCUACAAUGGCCGGUACAAAGGGAUGCCACACCGCGAGGUAGAGCUAAACCCAAAAAGCCGGUCUAAGUUCAGAUUGGAGUCUGCAACUCGACUCCAUGAAGGAGGAAUCGCUAGUAAUCGC